AUUUUUAUGGAGAGUUUGAUCCUGGCUCAGGAUGAACGCUGGCGGCGUGCCUAAUACAUGCAAGUCGAGCGAACAGACGAGGAGCUUGCUCCUUUGAC
rnacentral:rRNA from 1 species